rnacentral:tRNA from 1 species
AGCUAUAUAGUUUAAAAUUAAAAACAUUAAUUUUGUAAAUUAAAUUUAAUAAAUAUUAUUUUUAGCUA